rnacentral:tRNA from 1 species
GAGGGCAUAGUUCAGUGGUAGAGCGCAUGCUUAGCAUGCAGGAGGUCCUGGGUUCAAUCUCCAGUACCUCCG